UACGGGGGGGGCAAGCGUUGUUCGGAAUUACUGGGCGUAAAGGGCUCGUAGGUGGCCAACUAAGUCACACGUGAAAUCCCUCGGCUUAACCGGGGAACUGCGUGUGAUACUGGAUGGCUUGAGUUUGGGAGAGGGAUGCGGAAUUCCAGGUGUAGCGGUGAAAUGCGUAGAUAUCUGGAGGAACACCGGUGGCGAAGGCGGCAUCCUGGACCAAUUCUGACGCUGAGGAGCGAAAGCCAGGGGAGCAAACGGG
rnacentral:rRNA from 1 species